rfam:Clostridium sp. CAG:628 genomic scaffold, scf104
AUACUUUACAUGAGUUCGCCGUAGACAGUAGGUAACUAAUAAAUCCUACCGAGGAAAACUAAACUUUUAAAGAAGUUUUCCUUGUACGGAAAACUUUUUAUUAAUAUUAUG